GCAUAGAUGGCUGCGCCUAUCAGUUGUAGGCGUUGUAAGUACCCUCUAGCCAUCAACGCGUACGGGUGUUGGGAGACAUUGCCCGGAGAUGGAUUCUGAGACACGAAUCCAGACCCUACGGGGUGCAGCAGGCGCGAAAACUUGGCAAUGCGAGAAAUCGUGACCAGGGAACUCCAAGUGCGUAGGGUAAGACCUACGCUUUUCUUGACUCUUCAAAGGUCUUGGAAUAAGGGGUGGGUAAGGACGGUGCCAGCCGCCGCGGUAAUACCGGCGCCUCAAGUGGUAGUCGCUUUUAUUGGGCCUAAAACGUCCGUAGCCGGUCUGGUGCAUUCGUGGGUAAAUCAACCCGCUCAACGGGUUGAAUUCUGCGAGCACGGCCAGACUUGGGACCGGGAGAGGUGUGGGGUACUCUCAGGGUAGGGGUAAAAUCCUGUCAUCCUGAGAGGACCACCUGUUGCGAAGGCGCCACACUAGAACGGAUCCGACGGUCAGGGACGAAACCUAGGGGCACGAACCGGAUUAGAUACCCGGGUAGUCCUAGGUGUAAACGCUGUGGACUUGAUGUUGGGGGUGCUCCGAGCACUCUCAGUGUCGAAGCGAAGGUGAUAAGUCCACUGCCUGGGAAGUACGGUCGCAAGGCUGAAACUCAAAUGAAUUGACAGG
rnacentral:rRNA from 1 species